CCGCAGGUCCGCUUCGUCGCCGCCGGGAAACCGGGGGAGGAAAGUCCGGGCAACACAGAGCGCCGCGCAAGCUAACGACUUGAUGUCCGUGAGGGCAUGGGAGCGUAACAGAGAACGACCGCCCGCCGGCUCCGGCCGGCAGGUAAGGGUGAAAAGGCGGGGUAAGAGCCCACCGCGGGGGCAGCGAUGCCGCCCGGCCGUACGUCCCGCGGGUUGCAAGACCGCGUAUACCGACAAUCAAGGGUUGCUCGCCCGAUGUCGGGGGGUAGGUUGCUGGAGGCGGCGGGUGACCGCCGUCGUAGAUAAAUGACGAAGACCCGGGUUCCGGCCCGGGCACAGAACCCGGCUUACAGGGCC
rnacentral:RNase_P_RNA from 1 species